rnacentral:rRNA from 1 species
CCUACGGGGGGCUGCAGUGGGGAAUAUUGGACAAUGGGGGCAACCCUGAUCCAGCCAUGCCGCGUGUGUGAAGAAGGCCCUCGGGUUGUAAAGCACUUUCAGUGAGGAAGAACGCCUGGUGGUUAAUACCCAUCAGGAAAGACAUCACUCACAGAAGAAGCACCGGCUAACUCCGUGCCAGCAGCCGCGGUAAUACGGAGGGUGCGAGCGUUAAUCGGAAUUACUGGGCGUAAAGCGCGCGUAGGUGGCUUGAUAAGCCGGUUGUGAAAGCCCCGGGCUCAACCUGGGAACGGCAUCCGGAACUGUCAAGCUAGAGUGCAGGAGAGGAAGGUAGAAUUCCCGGUGUAGCGGUGAAAUGCGUAGAGAUCGGGAGGAAUAACAGUGGCGAAGGCGGCCUUCUGGACUGACACUGACACUGAGGUGCGAAAGCGUGGGUAGCAAACAGGAUUAGAUACCCCAGUAGUC